UUGCUAUGCCGCUGUCAAGUGUCAACAUCUGUUCAGUCUCAGUUUUCAUUGUUUUUCCGCGGUUUCAGCCUCCAAUGUAAUUCCGUUUUUUGUCUUUAUUUACCAAGUUUUAUUGAGUUACUUCGCAAAAUAAACUAAGUUUUCGUGAUGCAAAGAAAUUUCUUCUGUGUGAUACAAAGCCAGCGAGUGAUAACUGUGGCUCCGCCGCAAUGAAUUGACGGAAAAUUUCUUUUUUGACACCCUAAUAUAGCCGAAAAUUGCGUCUUCUAAACCAGAAUCUAACAGAGGUACUUUAAUGAUGUUAGUAACCAUUGAAAAAACGUCUGCGGUAAACGUUGAUACUAAUUUGGUCUGCAAACCCAUAGAAGAAUUUGAAACAGAGCAACCAAUUGCUACUUCUUAUAUGCUACCUGGUUCCAAUACUGCAAUUAUACAUCGAAGCGAAGAUCUUGCAUAUGACCCACUAUUUGAACGCGAUGGACAGAAAAAUUUUAUGAUGGAAAAGAUAAGUUAUGUGGCAAAUACGGUCAAUGGGUAAAAUACAUGCUACGAAAUUGUCAAGAGUAUCAAUUGGAGCUUCAACGUCAAAUUGAUGGAACCUUUUCUAAAAGUCAGUCACGAGGAAUUCCAUGAAACGUUGUGAAGCCGCUGCGCUGCUCGACAGUUCACCGGAGAUCACAGAAAACAUCACUUCUGUUGCAAUUGCUGAAUGUAUGACCACUGAUGAUACGGGAAGAAAGAACGGAACAGCACAAGAAAACAGCGACACAGAAGAGGAGAGCGAUCGUGUUGAAUAUUGAGUAUCGUAGUUCUAAGUUAUCUUCAGUUAUUUUUUUAUUCGAUACCAAGCUAUCUGUAAUUCGUUAAUCUAGAUGUAAUUAAACCCUGUAUUCCUGUUGAAUGUAAGAAAUGAAAUGUUUAUGUUUUAAUAAACGACUCUUUCGGGACUUUUUUCAUUGCACAUUGUAUAUUUUUUCUUAAUAUUAGUUUACAUUUAGCUAACUAAAUGUUCGCUUAAAUUAUUAUUACCAUUAGAGCAACCUUUGGUUUACUAAUAAACAAGAUCAU